rnacentral:rRNA from 1 species
AUUGAACGCUGGCGGCAGGCUUAACACAUGCAAGUCGAGCGGGGUGAUGGUGCUUGCGCUAUCACUUAGCGGCGGACGGGUGAGUAAUGCUUAGGAAUCUGCCUAUUAGUGGGGGACAACAUCUCGAAAGGGAUGCUAAUACCGCAUACGUCCUACGGGAGAAAGCAGGGGAUCACUUGUGACCUUGCGCUAAUAGAUGAGCCUAAGUCGGAUUAGCUAGUUGGUGGGGUAAAGGCCUACCAAGGCGACGAUCUGUAGCGGGUCUGAGAGGGUGAUCCGCCACACUGGGACUGAGACACGGCCCAGACUCCUACGGGAGGCAGCAGUGGGGAAUAUUGGACAAUGGGGGGAACCCUGAUCCAGCCAUGCCGCGUGUGUGAAGAAGGCCUUAUGGUUGUAAAGCACUUUAAGCGAGGAGGAGGCUCUUUUGGUUAAUACCCAAGAUGAGUGGACGUUACUCGCAGAAUAAGCACCGGCUAACUCUGUGCCAGCCGCCGCGGUAA